CGCAGUGCCGCUGCUUACACAUGCAGUCGAGCGGAAGGCCCCUUCGGGGGUACUCGAGCGGCGAACGGGUGAGUAACACGUGAGCAACCUGCCCCUGACUCUGGGAUAAGCCCGGGAAACUGGGUCUAAUACCGGAUAUGACCACUCCAGGCAUCUGGUGGUGGUGGAAAGUUUUUCGGUUGGGGAUGGGCUCGCGGCCUAUCAGCUUGUUGGUGGGGUGAUGGCCUACCAAGGCGACGACGGGUAACCGGCCUGAGAGGGCGACCGGUCACACUGGGACUGAGACACGGCCCAGACUCCUACGGGAGGCAGCAGUGGGGAAUAUUGCGCAAUGGGCGGAAGCCUGACGCAGCGACGCCGCGUGGGGGAUGACGGCCUUCGGGUUGUAAACCCCUUUCAGCAGGGACGAAGCUAACGUGACGGUACCUGCAGAAGAAGCGCCGGCUAACUACGUGCCAGCAGCCGCGGUAAUACGUAGGGCGCAAGCGUUGUCCGGAAUUAUUGGGCGUAAAGAGCUCGUAGGCGGUUUGUCGCGUCUGUCGUGAAAGCCCACGGCUUAACCGUGGGUCUGCGGUGGAUACGGGCAGACUAGAGGCAGGUAGGGGAGAAUGGAAUUCCCGGUGUAGCGGUGAAAUGCGCAGAUAUCGGGAGGAACACCGGUGGCGAAGGCGGUUCUCUGGGCCUGUACUGACGCUGAGGAGCGAAAGCGUGGGGAGCGAACAGGAUUAGAUACCCUGGUAGUCCACGCCGUAAACGUUGGGCGCUAGGUGUGGGGUUCUUCCACGGAUUCCGCGCCGUAGCUAACGCAUUAAGCGCCCCGCCUGGGGAGUACGGCCGCAAGGCUAAAACUCAAAGGAAUUGACGGGGGCCCGCACAAGCGGCGGAGCAUGUUGCUUAAUUCGACGCAACGCGAAGAACCUUACCAAGGCUUGACAUCGCCGGAAAUCCCGCAGAAGAUGCGGGGGUCCUUUUUGGGCCGGUGACAGGUGGUGCAUGGCUGUCGUCAGCUCGUGUCCUGAGAAGUUUGGGGUUAAGUCCCGCAACGAGCGCAACCCUCGUUCCAUGUUGCAGCACGUAAUUGGUGGGGACUCCUGGGAGAACCGCCGGGUCACUCCGAGAAAAGGGGGGGGAGGAAGUCCAGUCAUCCUGGCCCCUUAUGUUUUGGGGGUGCAAACAUGCUACAAUGGGCGGGUACAAAGGGUGCGAAACCCUCCGGGGGGGAGGAAAACCUUUAAAAGGGGUCGAUUUUGGAUAGAAAAUUGGGAACCGACUUCUUUGAGAUUGGAGAGCCUUUUAAUUUCAUA
rnacentral:rRNA from 1 species